CAAACACAUUCAAACCAUGAGUACAAUAUUAUGCCUGAGCACUAUAAUCACAUUAAACGAAGGCUGCAACGUCUCCACGUAAUUUUAAGAAUGCACCUUAAUCAAACCUAUCUUAGUUAUUGGUGGAAAUAAUUGUUAAUGUUUGUUUUAAUACCAGUUUUGUUGUAUUGCAUUUUAAAUGUUUGCCCUCUUGAAGAUGGGGAACAUAGGAAGAAAAAGAAUCCGAUGUGAAAAUCUGCUGCUCCAUGCUGUCUUCUGAGAGACCACCUAUUAGACAGCGUGGACUGUGUACUGCGCAUGCGCAGCGCAAGUUUCUUGGCGGGUUUUUCAAACAUGGAUUGCCAUUAUCUUAAGAGUAUCUUAAGAAACAAAGCGAGAAGAAUGGAGUUAGUGUACAAAUAAUGUGAAGGUGCACGUCUAAGGUAGAGCAAAAUGUGGUGGCUGUUGACCAACACAAAGCCACGGUUUUGAACAGAAAGAGCCACUCAUUGAUGAGAAAUACAGUUGUUUGUGACAAUGAGUACCACAGGAAUAAGAGUGUUUUGUGGAAGGCUCAACGCGAGCCGCAACAGCCAUUGGACCCUGCGGCAACUAGUGAUGGAGUGCUCGCUGGUGCACCUUGCAGAAGAUGUCGGUGACCUGGCCAGGAGUUGUUCUCCACCACCUCCCUCAUUCUUGCUCCUCUUCCCAAUGUCGCUCCGACAGUGGCUGAAUCAGGAAGUGUAGCGAGGCCUGGCAACACUUUUACAUCAAUGAAGCGGACGGAAAGCCCUCGCCAUCCACCCACUGAAAUAACACAGGUCAUUCAGGAAACAGGACCUCCUACUGCAAAUUGUUUACGUAUGUGCGAGUGUGCAAGGCGCCUAUUACGCAAGCCUGGGAGUGCCUGCACUCAAAAUGGAUUCCUGAAUAUUGGUACCCUACUAUUCCAAGACAUGAGACUUUACAAAUAUCAAAAUCUCAGCAAAACACCUGAUAGAGGUAUAUAAAAUUUGAGGGGCCUAGAGAGGGUAGACAGCCAGAACCUUCUCUAUCCUCCCCCACCCCCCGGGUGUUAAUAUCAAAGAACAGAAGGCAGAGUUGCAAGAUGAGAGCGGCUAGGAUUAAAGGAGAUGGGUAUUAGAGCAAGUUUUCUUUUACAUGGUGGGUGCUUGAAAAGUGCUGCCAGGGGUGGUGGCAGCAAGUACAAUAGUG